ACAAGCGGAGGAGCAUGUGGUUUAAUUCGAUGAUACGCGAGGACCUUACCUGGCUUAAUGCUAAUGACGUACUGGGAAACUGGUAUUUCUUCGGACAUUUUGCAAGGUGCUGCAUGGUUGUCGUCAGCUCGUGCCGUGAGGUGUCGGGUUAAGUCCCAUAACGAGCGCAACCCCUAUUGUUAGUUGCCAUCAGGUCAUGCUGGGGACUCUAACAAAACUGCCCGCGUAAGCGUGGAGGAAGGUGGGGAUGACGUCAAAUCAGCACGGCCCUUACGUCCAGGGCUACACACGUGCUACAAUGGCCGGUACAGAGGGCAGCCACUUGGUGACAAGGAGCAAAUCUCAAAAGCCGGUCUCAGUUCGGAUCGGAGUCUGCAACUCGACUCCGUGAAGUUGGAUUCGCUAGUAAUCGUAGAUCAGCAAUGCUACGGUGAAUACGUUCCCGGGCCUU
rnacentral:rRNA from 1 species